CUACACACACGUCAAAGGGCGCCAUUUUUGUCGCAUCAGACGCUGACAGCCACCGUCCAAACGUCCAUAUUUUACGAGUUCGGACUGAGAACCGGUUGGUG